AUAGAAUCGGCCGAUCUCGAGUUGUUGUGAGUAACACUUCUCUCCUCUAACUCUGGUUUUUUUUUUUGGUAUUUAUUUCUUUUGUUUUACUAAACUUCUUUUUUUUUUAUUAAAAAAAAAACAAAUAUUGCUAAAGGUAAAAACUUUACACUGAUAUUUUUCAAUUUUAACGCAAUAACAUAUAAUUUCUCUAACAAUAUUAAUAAUAAAUUGAUAAUAUAUGAUAUAUAUAUAUAUAUGUACUGUAUAUAUUGUAUAUAUAUAUAUAUAUAUAUAUAUAUAUAUAUAUAUAUGUUGUAUUGUUAAUGAACAAUGUUUUAAAUAUUGACUAAUGUUCAGCUUUAAUACAAAUCUAUUAAACAAGAGUAUUAUACAAUUGGAAGCAUAAAAAAAAUAGAAAAAAUACCCGAAAAAGCGUCAAUUCUAAUAAUAUAAAUAAUCCUGUUUUUUUACUUGGUCAUUAGAUAAAAUAUUAGUAGGAUUUAAAAUAAUAAUACUAUAGAAAAAAAGAAUUUAGACGCUUUGCAUCUCUCGUAUUUGUUAGCGUUACUUAUAUAUAUAUGCAUUAAAUUUAUUGUUUUGUUGUUUUAUCGACAAAUCUGAAAAUUUUGGUUGGGGAAGGUUGAUUAUAUUUAUUUAACCAUAUACUGUAUAGGCUAUUUGAUUACACCAUAUUAGCAAUAAUACCAAGCCAAUUUGUUAAAAGUUAUGUUUCAUUAAUAAUGAAAAUAUAUAUAUGGUUGGUAAUUGGGCCUUUUAAGCCCUCGAAGGUUAGAUUGGUGAACCGUAUAGGACGAUAUUUCUUAUUUAUUAGUAGAAAAGGAUCUAGACAGAGGACAAGAUAGUGGAAAUUUGGUCUAAUUUUACAGUUGAGUCACAUACCUUACUGGCGGAAAAAAGUGCCAUACGAUUCGCCGCCCUCAAGAUUAAUCGUCUUAUAAGAAAAUCGCGUGUAUUAUUAGACGCCGAAAGUUUGUCCAAGUGGGCCUAUAAAACGCACCGAAUCGAUAAAGCGCCAAGUUUGUCAGCUGCUACCAAGCUAGUGUUUUUUACUAGCUCUAGGUCACAUAUGCGUUUAGAAUAGGCGAGUUUGAAAUUAAUUGAUGUGGAUGCGAGCUUUAUUUAUUAUCAACUACUUAGGAAUUUUAUAAAGAGUGAAGUGUCUAACGUCAAGGGAGGUUAUUAGGCUUUACAUAUUUAGUCUUAUCCACAGCUCUCUCCCUUUACUCUUAUUUUCGAUUUAUCUAGUUUGUCCAAAAUCUACAUGUCAAAUGGUGUUUUUCAAUAAAUUAUACUAAUAAAGAAUAAAUAUACAGGUCUGGGAUAUGAUGACCUUGGUUUAAACAUCUAGCAUGAAUAACUUUACAAGCAAGGUGACUUCUUUAAGUAUUAAAGGAUGGAAAGACUUUUCGUCGGUCUUUACCGAACAAAAAACAACUUUGGCAAGCGUCGACUCGGGACCAUCCGAAGGCAGUUCACUUUUAGAGGGGAAAAAGAAGGUUCAAAAUAAAUUCUCCUCUAAUAAAAAUAACAAAAACGAAGAUCCUGGACAAGUUCAACCUUUGCUUGAUAGUUCCCCCGAUAAAGAAUGGGAAGAUAGACCAACAUGGAAUGGACUUGAAAGGGAAUUUAAAGCAGAUUUGGGCGUUGAUAACAAUAUUGAGCAUGAGAGUCGAGCGAAAGACCCCCUAGAAGAACAACUAAAAGACGAUAAAAAACCAAAGCAUAGAGAUGCAAUGAAUUUGAUUGAUUUUACCCAGUAGUGGAUAGUUUAUUAAAAAUAACGUAUAGAAAUAACAAAAGAUAAGAAAUAUACUAUUAUAAUCUCUCUCUUUUUUUACCUCUCUCUCUCUCUCUCUCUCUGUGUCUUUCUCUCUCUUUCAUUCUCUCUUCAUUUUGAAUAUUUCCAUAUAUUUUUUUUUAUUAAACAAAAGGAAAAGUUCAAAUUUUCUUGCAAGAGGAAAUAAAUUUAAAUAUAUUUUCUAAAAGGCCUACAAGAUGUAAAAUAUCAGUCCUAUACUUGAUAAUAGUUUUCCAAAUGUUAAUUAUAUUAUACUUUUUAAAACGGAAAAGAAAAUAACGAGAAAGAUUCUGAAUGUGAACUUUAUUUUUGCCGAUGUUAU
rnacentral:misc_RNA from 1 species